AGGGCAUACGGUGGAUGCCUUGGUACCAACAGCCGAAGAAGGACGUGGCAAGCUGCGAGAAGCUGCGGCGAGGCGCAAGCGGCCUUUGACCCGCAGAUGUCCGAAUGGGGCAACCCACCUGGAGUAGUCCAGGUAUCCCGUAAGGGAAGGAACCCGGAGAAGUGAAACAUCUCAGUAUCCGGAGGAAGAGAAAUCGAAGAGAUUCCCUAAGUAGUGGUGAGCGAACGGGGAAGAGCCUAAACCAUAUACAUGUAAGGCUGCGGUCGUUGUGUAUAUGGUGUAGAGGGGCUUUUCAUGCAUAGUCCGCAGGCUAGGCACGGAGUUAUCAAGAUACUUUUUAGCAGAACUGUGUUGGGAAAGCAGGCCAUAGACGGUGAGAGCCCGGUAUGCGACAGAGAGUAUCCUCCGAGAAGAGUUCCCGAGUAGGCCGGAGCACGUGGAAUUCCGGUUGAAUCAGGGUGGACCAUCAUCCAAGGCUAAAUACUGUUGGUGACCGAUAGUGGAUGAGUACCGAGAGGGAAGGGUGAAAAGCACCCCUGGCGGGGAGUGAAAUAGACCUGAACCCGUAUGCCUACAAGCAAUCGGAGCAAGAGAUGCCGCGAGGCAUUGAAUGUGACGGUGUGCCUUUUGUAAAAUGAGCCGGCGAGUUAUUAGACGUAGCGAGGUUAAGGUGCGUAUGUGCACUGGAGCCGUAGGGAAACCGAGUCUGAAUAGGGCGCAAGUUUCGUUUAAUAGACCCGAAGCCGCACGAUCUAUCCAUGGCCAGGUUGAAGUCCGGGUGAAGCCGGAUGGAGGACCGAACCAGUUUCUGUUGAAAAAGAUUUGGAUGAGCUGUGGAUCGGAGUGAAAAGCUAAUCGAGUGCGGUGAUAGCUGGUUCUCCCCGAUAUGCAUUGAGGUGCAGCCUUACGGAAUUGAGAUAUGGGGGUAGAGCACUGGAUGGACGCGGGGGACUGGGGUCCUACCAAAUUCAACCAAACUUCGAAUACCAUAUUUUGUACCGUAGGAGUGAGACUACGGGUGAGAAGGUCCGUGGUCGUGAGGGAAACAGCCCAGACCGUCAGCUAAGGUCCCAAAGCGUAUGCUAAGUGUGGCAAGGAUGUGAGAGUGCCUGGACAGCCAGGAGGUUGGCUUAGAAGCAGCCACCCUUUAAAGAGUGCGUAACAGCUCACUGGUCGAGGACUUUUGCGCCGAGAAUGUAGGGGGCUAAGCAUACUGCCGAAGCUGCGGGAUAUGUGCAAGAGUGUAUAUAUCGGUAGGGGAGCGUUCCAUACGGGGCGAAGCAGAGCCGCGAGGUCAUGUGGACUGUAUGGAAGUGAGAAUGCUGGCAUGAGUAACGCGAAGUGCGUGAGAAACGUACUCACCGGAAGCCCAAGGGUUCCUGGGGAAGGUUCAUCCGCCCAGGGUUAGGCGGGACCUAAGGCGAGGCCGAGAGGCGUAGUCGAUGGAUAGCAGGUAGAUAUUCCUGUCCCAGCCAAUGAGCGUUAAUACCGAAGGGGUGACACAGAAAGCUAGGUGAUCCGGGUGAUGGAAGUCCCGGUCCAAGGGUGUAGGGAGUUUCCGCAGGCAAAUCCGCGGGAAUAAUUCUGAGACCUGAUGGGGAGGCCCUACGGGGUCGAAGUCAUUGAAGCUCGGCUGUCGAGAAAAGCCUCUAGGGAGUUUGUUGGUUGCUCGUACCCGAAACCGACACAGGUGGGCUAGCUGAGGAAGCUAAGGUGAGCGGGAAAACCCUCGUUAAGGAACUCUGCAAGUUGACCCCGUAACUUCGGGAGAAGGGGUGCCACUCUGGUGAAAUAUAAUCAUAUGGAGCUAAGGGUGGUCGCAGAAACCAGGCUCAGGCGACUGUUUACUAAAAACACAGGUCUCUGCAUAAGGCGUAAGCCGAAGUAUAGGGACUGACACCUGCCCGGUGCUGGAAGGUUAAAUGGAGAGGUUAGCGUAAGCGAAGCCUUGAUAUGAAGCCCCAGUAAACGGCGGCCGUAACUAUAACGGUCCUAAGGUAGCGAAAUUCCUUGUCGGGUAAGUUCCGACCUGCACGAAUGGUGUAACGAUCUGAGCACUGUCUCAACGAGGGACCCGGUGAAAUUGUGGUACUGGUAAAGACGCCAGUUACCUGUGGUGGGACGGAAAGACCCCGUGGAGCUUUACUGUAGCCUGAUAUUGGAUUUUGGUCUGUCAUGUACAGGAUAGGUGGGAGGCGUAGAAUGGAGGGCGUCAGCCUUUCAGGAGCCGUUGUUGGGAUACCACCCUUGACAUACCGAAGUUCUAACUGUUGAGUCUGAAUCGGCUGGCAGGACAUUGUCAGGUGGGCAGUUUGACUGGGGCGGUCGCCUCCUAAAGAGUAACGGAGGCGC
rnacentral:rRNA from 1 species